GUUUCAUUCAGUCAAAGUUGUAUCUAUGUUUGUUGAAAAAAAGUGUGUUUUGUUUGUUGAAAAAAGCAAUGGCAUAAUUUAAAAAGAAUGAAUAUGAUUUUACAUGGUAUUAUGUGAUUUAUGAAGAUUUUUGAAUGAUUGUUUAAAUUUUGUUAAAUAUUUUUUAUGUAUUAUCUUGUGCUAUUGUACUAUUUAAUGUAGAUGCCCCUUUUUGAAAGAUUUUUUUUGAUUAUAUUUGUCUUUUCUCUAGUUAGCAUUGCCUUUGUUUUGGUGUUUGGAGAGUAAUUUUUCUCCCAUUUAUAAUUGAGUUGGUGCUGUAUUUAUGUGUUGAUUAUGCUUGUUCUUAGUUGUAUAGUUAAAGUGAUUCAUCAUGGGUGGUUUUUCUCUUGUUAGAACUUAGGUGUUUUUUGUUGUUCAUUGUCCUGAUGGUGCAUGCUUUGGUUCAACAAGAUUGUGGGGCGGCUGCCCCUUGAUAUUGGUUUUGGUUUAUGUGCUUUGGAAUUUUGGGUUUGUAGGUGGGUGAUAUUUAGUAAUAUAAUUUCUUUUUCUUAAAAAAAAAAACAAAAAACAAAUCACAUGUUAAUAGAAUGAAGUAAGAGUCAUAAUAGUUAAGAGUGUGGAGAGAAUCCUUACUUUAGUUGUUAGUGCUAUUAUAGAGAAUCUGAAGUCAAAACAAUUCUCACUUAUAUGUUUAGUUUCAUGUCUUACAUUGUUCAGUAUUGAAUCUAUUGAUAAUGGCAUUUCUUCUAACAUACCAUAGUUUUUUUAUGUAUGAAAAGAUAUUUGCUAAGGUGGCUCUUCUAAAUUGAUUUUUUAAAGAAAAAAGUUAUUGAUUAUACUAAAUAAAAUUACACAUAUGGACAGUCCUUCGUUCUGGCCAUCUUUAAUACUUUUUCUAAUGCCACUUUUCUACUUUAUGUUUGUAAGUUUAUGAUUGCCUGCAUGCUAGUAACUUAGGAAACUUACUAAAUUACUACCACACGCUUUUGGUAUGAUAUGCAUCAGAACCUAUACAUCUUCAAAUAAUUGUUUUCUUCUUUAAAUUUUUAUCUCUUUGUCUACAAACUUAAUAAUUGAUUUUACUUGAAGGUGGUGAACAUUCCCAUUCUUAUAGGGACCAUGCAGACCAGGACCUUGAUGCUAGUUCUGGACAUGGACAUGGACAUUCACAUUGCUGAUCUUUCUACAGGAAUAUCAAUCUUUGCGAGGAUUGUACCCUUUCUUCUUGGUUGAUUACAAGACCCUCCAAAUUGAUUAAUAGCACCUCUCUAAAUUCCCACCUAAUUAAUAAAGAAGAAAGUAUGGCUUGAUGGAUUUUGUGCCAACCACCAUAAUCCCUACCAUGUCUUCUAAAGGUAAAAUGAAUUUUAAGAGGACGACAUAGGUGAUGACCUUCAAGAGGACGACAUAGGUGAUAAAGAGCAUGAUGGAAAUGACGACGAGUUCGACAAAUUUAAAUAAGUUGGAUGAUGUUGUUUUAGGCUUCUACUUAAACAUUAAACUUAAAGAAACUAUGUAUUUUUGUCAUUUUGCUAGACUUAGACUUCUAUGUGUUAAACUUGUAGUAUUAAGUAAUGUUAUACAUUUUGUGUAAUUGAGUUAAUGCUUGAAGAUUUUACAAACACAAUUUUUGUAGUACAAGCAAUUUAUGUUUGGUGUAA